rnacentral:rRNA from 1 species
CCGUGCAAAGGUAGCACAAUCACUUGUCUCUUAAAUCGAGACCUGUAUGAAUGACAUCACGAGGAUUUAACUGUCUCCCUUCACCAAUCAGUGAAACUAAUCUCCCUGUGAAAAAGCAGGGCUACUCAUACAAGACGAGAAGACCCUAUGGAGCUUUAAACUAGUAACACUUGCUCACUUUCCCAUGAUAUUCAGCAUAAUGCUUAUACGUUUUCGGUUGGGGUGACCCUGGAGAAAAACCUAACCUCCAGGCUGUUAAAUAUAAGAACCUCAAUUCUACAAUCAACAUAUUGACACAAUUGACCCAAACAUUUGACCAACGAACCAAGUUACCCUAGGGAUAACAGCGCCAUCCACUUCAAGAGCACAUAUCAACAAGUGGGCUUACGACCUCGAUG